GUGUCGAGGGCGAAGGUGGCGUUCCACUCGAGCCAGCCGGCGGGGUGGAUGUGGUCGCCGAUGUAGGACAUCAUGUAGACCGUGCGGGAGUAGAGCUUCCAUGGCCGCCCGAGGAAGGUGGGGAAGUUCCCCUUGGUGCAGUUGAGCAGGUCUGCGGCGGGGAGGAUCCGUGAGGCGUGAAUGGAGAUGCCGGUGUUCUGGUUUGGGUCCUUGCGGUUCUGCGCGGUGAUGGUGUUCUUCUGCAGGUCCAUAGGCUUGCGGGAGUAGAUGCUGCAGUUCUGCAGCACCACGGCGGCGUUGCCGAAGAUGAAGUCCACCGUCCCGUAGAUGUCGCACUCCCGGAAGAACUGCCGCUGGGAGUGCACGUAGAGGGUGUCCUGGUAGCCGAUCACGUU
rnacentral:lncRNA from 1 species